rnacentral:rRNA from 1 species
GACUCCACGAAGUUGGAUUCGCUAGUAAUCGCGCAUCAGCCAUGGCGCGGUGAAUACGUUCCCGGGCCUUGUACACACCGCCCGUCAAGCCAUGGGAGCCGGGGGCGCCUGAAGUCCGGGACCGCGAGGACCGGCCUAAGGCGAAACUGGUGACUGGGGCUAAGUCGUAACAAGGUAAC